AUUGAACGCUGGCGGCAUGCUUUACACAUGCAAGUCGAACGGUAACAGGUUAAGCUGACGAGUUGCGAACGGGUGAGUAAUCCAUCGGAACGUGCCCGGUCUGGGGGGAUAACGCAGCGAAUGCUGUGCUAAUACCGCAGAUGAUCUGAGGAUGAAAGCUGUGGACCGUAAGGCCACGAGCGAACGGAGCAGCCGAGGUCAGCUUAGGUAGUGGGUGGGGUACAGGCUCACCAAGCCGACGAUCGGUAGCUGGUCUGAGGGGACGACCAGCCACACUGGGACGGAGACCCGGCCCAGACUCCUACGGGAGGCAGCAGUGGGGAAUUUUGGACAAUGGGCGCAAGCCUGAUCCAGCAAUGCCGCGUGCAGGAAGAAGGCCUUCGGGUUGUAAACUGCUUUUGUACGGGGCGAAAAGGCUCUCUCUACUACAGGGAGCUCAUGACGGUACCGUAAGAAUAAGCACCGGCUAACUACGUGCCAGCCGCCGCAGUAAAAC
rnacentral:rRNA from 1 species